GGGUUGUGAGGUUAAGCGACUAAGCGUACACGGUGGAUGCCCUGGCAGUCAGAGGCGAUGAAGGACGUGCUAAUCUGCGAUAAGCGUCGGUAAGGUGAUAUGAACCGUUAUAACCGGCGAUUUCCGAAUGGGGAAACCCAGUGUGUUUCGACACACUAUCAUUAACUGAAUCCAUAGGUUAAUGAGGCGAACCGGGGGAACUGAAACAUCUAAGUACCCCGAGGAAAAGAAAUCAACCGAGAUUCCCCCAGUAGCGGCGAGCGAACGGGGAGCAGCCCAGAGCCUGAAUCAGUGUGUGUGUUAGUGGAAGCGUCUGGAAAGGCGCGCGAUACAGGGUGACAGCCCCGUACACAAAAAUGCACAUGCUGUGAGCUCGAUGAGUAGGGCGGGACACGUGGUAUCCUGUCUGAAUAUGGGGGGACCAUCCUCCAAGGCUAAAUACUCCUGACUGACCGAUAGUGAACCAGUACCGUGAGGGAAAGGCGAAAAGAACCCCGGCGAGGGGAGUGAAAAAGAACCUGAAACCGUGUACGUACAAGCAGUGGGAGCACGCUUAGGCGUGUGACUGCGUACCUUUUGUAUAAUGGGUCAGCGACUUAUAUUCUGUAGCAAGGUUAACCGAAUAGGGGAGCCGAAGGGAAACCGAGUCUUAACUGGGCGUUAAGUUGCAGGGUAUAGACCCGAAACCCGGUGAUCUAGCCAUGGGCAGGUUGAAGGUUGGGUAACACUAACUGGAGGACCGAACCGACUAAUGUUGAAAAAUUAGCGGAUGACUUGUGGCUGGGGGUGAAAGGCCAAUCAAACCGGGAGAUAGCUGGUUCUCCCCGAAAGCUAUUUAGGUAGCGCCUCGUGAAUUCAUCUCCGGGGGUAGAGCACUGUUUCGGCAAGGGGGUCAUCCCGACUUACCAACCCGAUGCAAACUGCGAAUACCGGAGAAUGUUAUCACGGGAGACACACGGCGGGUGCUAACGUCCGUCGUGAAGAGGGAAACAACCCAGACCGCCAGCUAAGGUCCCAAAGUCAUGGUUAAGUGGGAAACGAUGUGGGAAGGCCCAGACAGCCAGGAUGUUGGCUUAGAAGCAGCCAUCAUUUAAAGAAAGCGUAAUAGCUCACUGGUCGAGUCGGCCUGCGCGGAAGAUGUAACGGGGCUAAACCAUGCACCGAAGCUGCGGCAGCGACACUAUGUGUUGUUGGGUAGGGGAGCGUUCUGUAAGCCUGUGAAGGUGUGCUGUGAGGCAUGCUGGAGGUAUCAGAAGUGCGAAUGCUGACAUAAGUAACGAUAAAGCGGGUGAAAAGCCCGCUCGCCGGAAGACCAAGGGUUCCUGUCCAACGUUAAUCGGGGCAGGGUGAGUCGACCCCUAAGGCGAGGCCGAAAGGCGUAGUCGAUGGGAAACAGGUUAAUAUUCCUGUACUUGGUGUUACUGCGAAGGGGGGACGGAGAAGGCUAUGUUGGCCGGGCGACGGUUGUCCCGGUUUAAGCGUGUAGGCUGGUUUUCCAGGCAAAUCCGGAAAAUCAAGGCUGAGGCGUGAUGACGAGGCACUACGGUGCUGAAGCAACAAAUGCCCUGCUUCCAGGAAAAGCCUCUAAGCAUCAGGUAACAUCAAAUCGUACCCCAAACCGACACAGGUGGUCAGGUAGAGAAUACCAAGGCGCUUGAGAGAACUCGGGUGAAGGAACUAGGCAAAAUGGUGCCGUAACUUCGGGAGAAGGCACGCUGAUAUGUAGGUGAAGCGACUUGCUCGUGGAGCUGAAAUCAGUCGAAGAUACCAGCUGGCUGCAACUGUUUAUUAAAAACACAGCACUGUGCAAACACGAAAGUGGACGUAUACGGUGUGACGCCUGCCCGGUGCCGGAAGGUUAAUUGAUGGGGUUAGCGCAAGCGAAGCUCUUGAUCGAAGCCCCGGUAAACGGCGGCCGUAACUAUAACGGUCCUAAGGUAGCGAAAUUCCUUGUCGGGUAAGUUCCGACCUGCACGAAUGGCGUAAUGAUGGCCAGGCUGUCUCCACCCGAGACUCAGUGAAAUUGAACUCGCUGUGAAGAUGCAGUGUACCCGCGGCAAGACGGAAAGACCCCGUGAACCUUUACUAUAGCUUGACACUGAACAUUGAGCCUUGAUGUGUAGGAUAGGUGGGAGGCUUUGAAGUGUGGACGCCAGUCUGCAUGGAGCCGACCUUGAAAUACCACCCUUUAAUGUUUGAUGUUCUAACGUUGACCCGUAAUCCGGGUUGCGGACAGUGUCUGGUGGGUAGUUUGACUGGGGCGGUCUCCUCCUAAAGAGUAACGGAGGAGCACGAAGGUUGGCUAAUCCUGGUCGGACAUCAGGAGGUUAGUGCAAUGGCAUAAGCCAGCUUGACUGCGAGCGUGACGGCGCGAGCAGGUGCGAAAGCAGGUCAUAGUGAUCCGGUGGUUCUGAAUGGAAGGGCCAUCGCUCAACGGAUAAAAGGUACUCCGGGGAUAACAGGCUGAUACCGCCCAAGAGUUCAUAUCGACGGCGGUGUUUGGCACCUCGAUGUCGGCUCAUCACAUCCUGGGGCUGAAGUAGGUCCCAAGGGUAUGGCUGUUCGCCAUUUAAAGUGGUACGCGAGCUGGGUUUAGAACGUCGUGAGACAGUUCGGUCCCUAUCUGCCGUGGGCGCUGGAGAACUGAGGGGGGCUGCUCCUAGUACGAGAGGACCGGAGUGGACGCAUCACUGGUGUUCGGGUUGUCAUGCCAAUGGCACUGCCCGGUAGCUAAAUGCGGAAGAGAUAAGUGCUGAAAGCAUCUAAGCACGAAACUUGCCCCGAGAUGAGUUCUCCCUGACUCCUUGAGAGUCCUGAAGGAACGUUGAAGACGACGACGUUGAUAGGCCGGGUGUGUAAGCGCAGCGAUGCGUUGAGCUAACCGGUACUAAUGAACCGUGAGGCUUAACCUUACAACGCCGAAGCUGUU
rnacentral:rRNA from 1 species